ensembl:snRNA U7 U7 small nuclear RNA
UAGUGUUACAGCUCUUUUAGAAUUUGUCUAGCUGGUUUUCCUGUUUUCACCAGAAGAAUGCCCCU